GGAGAAUGAAGUCGUAUUGAGCAAAUGUCUUGUGAAAGACUUUCAAAAACAUGAGAAGACGUGAGAAGUAGCUAAAUUUUGACAACUCCUCACCAGCUCUGUUACUACUACCUUGUUUUAAGACACCACUACUGCUCAUAUAGACUUUUGCAAUCUCAUUCUUCUUGCUGAUUCCACUCUCAUGCCGUCCCCCUACAAUCUAAACUCAAAGAGCAGCCAGGGUGAUCCUCUUAAAAUGGGACACGGGUUCGAGCCCUGGUCUGGGAAGAUCCCACAUGCCGCGGAGCAGCUAGGCCCGUAAGCCACAACUACUGAGCCUGCACGUCUGGAGCCUGUGCUCCA